rnacentral:rRNA from 1 species
UGGGGAAUUUUGGACAAUGGGCGAAAGCCUGAUCCAGCAAUGCCGCGUGUGUGAAGAAGGCCUUCGGGUUGUAAAGCACUUUUGUCCGGAAAGAAAUCCUUGGCUCUAAUACAGUCGGGGGAUGACGGUACCGGAAGAAUAAGCACCGGCUAACUACGUGCCAGCAGCCGCGGUAAUACGUAGGGUGCAAGCGUUAAUCGGAAUUACUGGGCGUAAAGCGUGCGCAGGCGGUUUGCUAAGACCGAUGUGAAAUCCCCGGGCUCAACCUGGGAACUGCAUUGGUGACUGGCAGGCUAGAGUAUGGCAGAGGGGGUAGAAUUCCACGUGUGAGCAGUGAAAUGCGUAGAGAUGUGGAGGAAUACCGAUGGCGAAGGCAGCCCCUGGGCCAAUACUGACGCUCAUGCACGAAAGCGUGGGGAGCAAACAGGAUUAGAUACCCUGGUAGUCCACGCCCUAAACGAUGUCAACUAG